rnacentral:rRNA from 1 species
AUUGAACGCUGGCGGCAGGCCUAACACAUGCAAGUCGAGCGGAUGAAGGGAGCUUGCUCCUGGAUUCAGCGGCGGACGGGUGAGUAAUGCCUAGGAAUCUGCCUGGUAGUGGGGGAUAACGUCCGGAAACGGGCGCUAAUACCGCAUACGUCCUGAGGGAGAAAGUGGGGGAUCUUCGGACCUCACGCUAUCAGAUGAGCCUAGGUCGGAUUAGCUAGUUGGUGGGGUAAAGGCCUACCAAGGCGACGAUCCGUAACUGGUCUGAGAGGAUGAUCAGUCACACUGGAACUGAGACACGGUCCAGACUCCUACGGGAGGCAGCAGUGGGGAAUAUUGGACGAUGGGCGAAAGCCUGAUCCAGCCAUGCCGCGUGUGUGAAGAAGGUCUUCGGAUUGUAGAGCACUUUAAGUUGGGAGGAAGGGCAGUAAGUUAGUACCUUGCUGUUUUGGCGUUACCAACAAAAUAAGCGCCGGCUAACUUCGUG